CAGUAGCCGCGGUAAUACGUAGGGUGCGAGCGUUAAUCGGAAUUACUGGGCGUAAAGCGUGCGCAGGCGGUUAUAUAAGACAGAUGUGAAAUCCCCGGGCUCAACCUGGGACCUGCAUUUGUGACUGUAUAGCUAGAGUACGGUAGAGGGGGAUGGAAUUCCGCGUGUAGCAGUGAAAUGCGUAGAUAUGCGGAGGAACACCGAUGGCGAAGGCAAUCCCCUGGACCUGUACUGACGCUCAUGCGCGAAAGCGUGGGGAGCAAACAGGAUUAGAUACCCCGGUAGUCCCUGUCUCUUAUAC
rnacentral:rRNA from 1 species